rnacentral:rRNA from 1 species
GAUCAUGGCUCAGAUUGAACGCUGGCGGCAGGCCUAACACAUGCAAGUCGAACGGUAACAGGAAGAAGCUUGCUUCUUUGCUGACGAGUGGCGGACGGGUGAGUAAUGUCUGGGAAACUGCCUGAUGGAGGGGGAUAACUACUGGAAACGGUAGCUAAUACCGCAUAACGUCGCAAGACCAAAGAGGGGGACCUUCGGGCCUCUUGCCAUCGGAUGUGCCCAGAUGGGAUUAGCUAGUAGGUGGGGUAACGGCUCACCUAGGCGACGAUCCCUAGCUGGUCUGAGAGGAUGACCAGCCACACUGGAACUGAGACACGGUCCAGACUCCUACGGGAGGCAGCAGUGGGGAAUAUUGCACAAUGGGCGCAAGCCUGAUGCAGCCAUGCCGCGUGUAUGAAGAAGGCCUUCGGGUUGUAAAGUACUUUCAGCGGGGAGGAAGGGAGUAAAGUUAAUACCUUUGCUCAUUGACGUUACCCGCAGAAGAAGCACCGGCUAACUCCGUG